AAGUCGUAACAAGGUUUCCGUAGGUGAACCUGCGGAAGGAUCAUUAAUGAAUUUAAUUGACAGGGUUGUCGCUGGCCUUUCCGGGCAUGUGCACGCCUUGCUCAUAUUCAUCCCUUCUAUACCUCUGUGCACUUUUCAUAGAUUGGCUUAGUUUAAAAGGAUUGUCUUGUACAGUCUGGGCCUCUCUAUGCAUUUUAUACAAACAUCUAUGUCUUAGAAUGUCUUUAUUGCAUAACGCAUAUAAAUACAACUUUCAGCAACGGAUCUCUUGGCUCUC
rnacentral:misc_RNA from 1 species